rnacentral:rRNA from 1 species
AGGUUAACCGUAUAGGGGAGCCGUAGGGAAACCGAGUCUUAACUGGGCGAAUGAGUUGCAGGGUAUAGACCCGAAACCCGGUGAUCUAUCCAUGGGCAGGUUGAAGGUUGGGUAACACUAACUGGAGGACCGAACCGACUAAUGUUGAAAAAUUAGCGGAUGACUUGUGGAUGGGGGUGAAAGGCCAAUCAAACCGGGAGAUAGCUGGUUCUCCCCGAAAGCUAUUUAGGUAGCGCCUCGUGAACUCAUCUUCGGGGGUAGAGCACUGUUUCGACUAGGGGGUCAUCCCGACUUACCAACUCGAUGCAAACUGCGAAUACCGAAGAAUGUUAUCACGGGAGACACACGGCGGGUGCUAACGUCCGUCGUGAAGAGGGAAACAACCCAGACCGCCAGCUAAGGUCCCAAAGUCAUGGUUAAGUGGGAAACGAAGUGGGAAGGCUCAGACAGCCAGGAUGUUGGCUUAGAAGCAGCCAUCAUUUAAAGAAAGCGUAAUAGCUCACUGGUCGAGUCGGCCCGCGCGGAAGAUGUAACGGGGCUAAACCAUGCACCGAAGCUGCGGCAGCGACACAAAGUGUUGUUGGGUAGGGGAGCGUUCUGUAAGCCUGCGAAGGUGUACUGUGAGGUAUGCUGGAGGUAUCAGAAGUGCGAAUGCUGACAUAAGUAACGAUAAUGCGGGUGAAAAACCCGCACGCCGGAAGACCAAGGGUUCCUGUCCAACGUUAAUCGGGGCAGGGUGAGUCGACCCCUAAGGCGAGGCUGAAAAGCGUAGUCGAUGGGAAACGGGUUAAUAUUCCCGUACUGGUGGUAACUGCGAUGGGGGAACGGAGAAGGCUAGGUUGUCCGGGCGACGGUCGUCCCGGUUCAAGCAGGUAGGCAGAGUGAUUAGGCAAAUCCGGUCACUUAAUGCUGAGAUGUGAUGACGAACCACUAAGGUGGUGAAGCAAUUGAUGCCCCGCUUCCAGGAAAAGCCUCUAAGCUUCAGGUUACCAACAAUCGUACCCCAAACCGACACAGGUGGUCAGGUAGAGAAUACUCAGGCGCUUGAGAGAACUCGGGUGAAGGAACUAGGCAAAAUGGUGCCGUAACUUCGGGAGAAGGCACGCUGGCG